UCGAAAGGAAAUGAAUAACCAUGACUUGCUACCAGUUGUUUCAUUUAAAAAAAAAAAAGAAGUAGAUGGAUUUGUCAGAUCAAAUCUUUUGGUUCUAAAGUCUGGUGGCCUGCUUCAUUCUUUAUAUUUCAUAGCAUUUAAACUGAACAAAACCAAAACAAUCCUGCUGUAAAUUAAUAUAUAUAUAUAUAUAUAUAUAUAUAUAUAUAUAUAAGAAUAAGGAAAUGUUCAUAGCCACCAUCCUCAAAAACAAAAUUAAUUUACAUUAUCAUCCUCAAAAACAAAAUUAAUUUACAUUAUCAUCCAGGAAAUAUAUAUGGAGAGAGUGAGGAAGAUGACAAAGAACAAGUGGCUGAUGAUCUUCUGGACUUGUGACCUCUCAUUUCCACUCUUCCCAUGUGAAUUCUUCUUCCUC
rnacentral:lncRNA from 1 species